rnacentral:rRNA from 1 species
UACGUAGGGGGCAAGCGUUGUCCGGAUUUACUGGGCGUAAAGAGCGUGUAGGCGGCCACGCAGGUCCGUUGUGAAAACUGGAGGCUCAACCUCCAGCUGUCGACGGAAACCGUAUGGCUAGAGUCCGGAAGAGGAGAGUGGAAUUCCUGGUGUAGCGGUGAAAUGCGCAGAUAUCAGGAAGAACACCAAUGGCGAAGGCAGCUCUCUGGGACGGUACUGACGCUGAGACGCGAAAGCGUGGGGGAGCAAACAGG